GCCCUGGUGGCAUAAUGGUUAAGCAUUUGGCUCCUAACUGAAAGGUCAGUGGUUCAAAUCCACCAACAGCU
rnacentral:tRNA from 1 species